UACGUAGGGGGCAAGCGUUGUCCGGAAUUAUUGGGCGUAAAGAGCUCGUAGGCGGUUUGUCGCGUCGGCUGUGAAAACCUGAGGCUCAACCUCAGGCCUGCAGUCGAUACGGGCAGACUAGAGGUAGGUAGGGGAGAAUGGAAUUCCCGGUGUAGCGGUGAAAUGCGUAGAUAUCAGGAGGAACACCUGUGGCGAAAGCGGCUCACUGGACCAUAACUGACGCUGAUGCACGAAAGCUAGGGGAGCAAACAGG
rnacentral:rRNA from 1 species